rnacentral:rRNA from 1 species
AUGCAWSUCGAWCGWAGAAGUCCUUCGGGAUGGAUUAGWGGCGCACGGGUGAGUAAUAUAUAGUUAAUGUACCUUCAAGACUGGGAUAGCCACUGGAAACGGUGAUUAAUACUAGAUAUACCUCUCUAACAUAAGUUAGAGUGGGAAAUGUUUUUUCGCUUGAAGAUCARACUAUAUCCCAUCAGUUUGUUGGUGAGGUAAUGGCUCACCAAGGCAAUGACGGGUAGCGGGUUUGARAGGAUGAUCCGCCACACUGGUACUGAGACACGGACCAGACUCCUACGGGAGGCAGCAGUGAGGAAUAUUGCAYACUGGGGGAAACCCUGAUGCAGCAACGCCGCGUGGAGGAUGACGCAUUUCGGUGUGWAAACUCCUUUUAUGAGUCAAGAAAAUGACGGUAGCUCAUGAAUAAGCACCGGCUAACUCYGUGCCAGCAGCCGCGGUAAUACGGAGGGUGCAAGCGUUACUCGGAAUCACUGGGCGUAAAGGACGCGUAGGCGGGUUGGUAAGUCAGAUGUGAAAUCYUACAGCUCAACUGUAGAACUGCAUUUGAAACUACCGACCUAGAGUAUGGGAGGGGGAGAUGGAWUUAGUGGUGUAGGGGUAAAAUCCGUAGAUAUCACUAGGAAUACCAAAGCGAAGGCGAUCUCCKGGAACAUUACUGACGYUAAGGSGUGGAAAGCGUGGGGAGMAAACAGGAUUAGWKMCCCUGGUAGUCCACSCUCUAAAMGAUGAACACUAUUCGUCGGAAASYUUGUCUUUUCCGGWGWUKCMCUAACAGAUUAARGUUCC